rnacentral:lncRNA from 1 species
GAGGUACAUGAAAUAAAAGCAAAAUCGAAACAUGAAGGAACUACCCGGGCAAAAGGGGGAGGGUGCAGAUGUACAUGUUCACGUUUUGGGGCAACAAAGUAUACAAAACAUUAAGGCGGUUUUUGUUUUUGACGAAUUCAAGGUUUCAAGUUAAAUAUUUUGGUGGAUAAUGAAUUGGUUGCUCUUAAAAAAUUGUUCAACAUGACAACAAGAAAAUGGUGAAACAUAUCUUUGCUGAAUGGCGUCUUACUUAUUAAUUAUAUGCAGAUACAUUGAAUCAAUAGACUACUUGUAACUAAGAUAUUUGUAGCAGGUGUAUAAUUUUUUUUUCUCCAAUUAUAUGCCAAUUUAUACAUUUCCGAAUGCAUUGUAUACAAAUUUUUAAUCUAUGUGAGGUUGCCGGUGAUAUCAUAUAAGCUUUAUCUGCUCACUGGAUAUAUAACUAGAGGCUCUAAAGAGCCUGUGUCGCUCACCUUGGUCUAUGUGAAUAUUAAACAAAGGACGCAGAUGGAUUCAUGACAAAAUUGUGUUUUGGUGAUGGUGAUGUGUUUGUACAUCUUACUAUCUUACUUUACUGAACAUUCUUGCUGCUUACAAUUAUCUCUAUCUAUAAUGAACUUGGCCCAGUAGUUUCAGAGGAGAAGAUUUUUGUAAAAGAUAACUACGAUUUACGAAAAAUGGUUAAAAAUUGACUAUAAAGGGCAAUAACUCUAAAGGGGUCAACUGACCAUUUCGGUCAUGUUGACUUAUUUGUAGAUCUUACUUUGCCGACAUUUAUUGCUUUUUACAGUUUAUUUUCUAUCU